GUUUCCAUGGUUAUAUUCAUUAAAGUAAGAAUUCAAAAUUAAUUUCAAAUUUAAGGUCAAAGUAGCCAAACUGGAAAAAUUCUAUAAGACACCUAUCCUUUCAGGGCAGCUACUCUGGCCUUAAAUGUGAAAUUCUGUUUGAAUUCACAUUGAAUGCGCCCAUAAGUGAAUAACCCUGCAGCUGUUUUCUGAGUCUGCUUCACCUCUCCAGACAGGAUGAAUAAUGAUACAUUUGGGACACAAAUCACAAGUCAUCUUGUGAAUGCCUGAUAAUUAAAAUAUACAACUUUACAAAUUUGAACCAAUCGAGUUAUAAAGUUAAAGGGAUUCUCU